GUGGUUAUGCCUCAGUGAUAGAGCACUCGCCUUGCACUUGGGAGACCCUGGGUUGGAUCCUCAGUACCACA
rnacentral:tRNA from 1 species